GGCCUCGGAGUGUCAUCACGUGUGGUUGCAAACCCCCAAAAGCCGAAUAAUACCUGCCGGGGCUU